rnacentral:rRNA from 1 species
GAGUUUGAUCCUGGCUCAGGACGAACGCNGGCGGCGUGCUUAACACAUGCAAGUCGAACGGAAAGGCCCUGCUUUUGUGGGGUGCUCGAGUGGCGAACGGGUGAGUAACACGUGAGUAACCUGCCCUUGACUUUGGGAUAACUUCAGGAAACUGGGGCUAAUACCGGAUAGGAGCUCCUGCUGCAUGGUGGGGGUUGGAAAGUUUCGGCGGUUGGGGAUGGACUCGCGGCUUAUCAGCUUGUUGGUGGGGUAGUGGCUUACCAAGGCUUUGACGGGUAGCCGGCCUGAGAGGGUGACCGGCCACAUUGGGACUGAGAUACGGCCCAGACUCCUACGGGAGGCAGCAGUGGGGAAUAUUGCACAAUGGGCGGAAGCCUGAUGCAGCAACGCCGCGUGCGGGAUGACGGCCUUCGGGUUGUAAACCGCUUUCGCCUGUGACGAAGCGUGAGUGACGGUAAUGGGUAAAGAAGCACCGGCUAACUACGUGCCAGCAGCCGCGGUGAUACGUAGGGUGCGAGCGUUGUCCGGAUUUAUUGGGCGUAAAGGGCUCGUAGGUGGUUGAUCGCGUCGGAAGUGUAAUCUUGGGGCUUAACCCUGAGCGUGCUUUCGAUACGGGUUGACUUGAGGAAGGUAGGGGAGAAUGGAAUUCCUGGUGGAGCGGUGGAAUGCGCAGAUAUCAGGAGGAACACCAGUGGCGAAGGCGGUUCUCUGGGCCUUUCCUGACGCUGANGAGCGAAAGCGUGGGGGAGCGAACAGGCUUAGAUACCCUGGUAGUCA